rnacentral:rRNA from 1 species
GACGAACGCUGGCGGCGUGCUUAACACAUGCAAGUCGAACGAAGUGGCGAACGGGUGAGUAAUACGUGAGUAACCUGCCCUCCUUUUUGGGAUAAGCCUUGGAAACGGGGUCUAAUACCGAAUAAAGGGUGAUGGGCUCGCGGCCUUUCAGCUUGUUGGUGGGGUGAUGGCCUACCAAGGCGGUGACGGGUAGCCGGCCUGAGAGGGUGACCGGACACAUUGGGACUGGGAUACGGCCCAGGGUCCUACGGAGGGCAGCAGUGGGGGAUAUUGGACAAUAGGCGAAAGCGUGAUGCAGCGAGGGCGCGUGGGGGUUGCGGGCUUUCGGGUUGUAAUCCUCUUUCGCUAUCGAAGGGGUAGGUGGAGAAGAAGCGCCGGCUAACUACGUGCCAGCAGCCGCGGUAAUUC